GAUGAACGCUGGCGGCGUGCCUAAUACAUGCAAGUCGAGCGAACAGACGAGGAGCUUGCUCCUCUGACGUUAGCGGCGGACGGGUGAGUAACACGUGGAUAACCUACCUAUAAGACUGGGAUAACUUCGGGAAACCGGAGCUAAUACCGGAUAAUAUAUUGAACCGCAUGGUUCAAUAGUGAAAGACGGUUUUGCUGUCACUUAUAGAUGGAUCCGCGCCGCAUUAGCUAGUUGGUAAGGUAACGGCUUACCAAGGCAACGAUGCGUAGCCGACCUGAGAGGGCGAUCGGCCACACUGGAACUGAGACACGGUCCAGACUCCUACGGGAGGCAGCAGUAGGGAAUCUUCCGCAAUGGGCGGAAGCCUGACGGAGCAACGCCGCGUGAGUGAUGAAGGUCUUCGGAUCGUAAAACUCUGUUAUUAGGGAAGAACAAAUGUGUAAGUAACUAUGCACGUCUUGACGGUACCUAAUCAGAAAGCCACGGCUAACUACGUG
rnacentral:rRNA from 1 species